rnacentral:rRNA from 1 species
GACGAACGCUGGCGGCGCGCCUAACACAUGCAAGUCGAGCGAGAACCGGAGCUUCGGCUCCGGGGACAGCGGCGAACGGGUGAGUAACACGUGGAUAACCUGCCCUCGGCACCGGAAUAGCCCGGGGAAACCCGGAUUAAUGCCGGAUAGCCCCACAUCCCUGCGGGGAACGUGGGAAAAGGUAGCUUCGGCCUCUGGCCGAGGAUGGGUCCGCGGUGGAUUAGCUUGUUGGUGCGGGUAAUGGCCCACCAAGGCGACGAUCCAUAGCUGGUCUGAGAGGACGAUCAGCCACACUGGGACUGAGACACGGCCCAGACUCCUACGGGAGGCAGCAGUGGGGAAUCUUGCGCAAUGGGCGAAAGCCUGACGCAGCGACGCCGCGUGCGGGAAGAAGGCCUUCGGGUUGUAAACCGCUUUCAGGAGGGACGAAGCCACUCGGGUGAAUAGCCCAGAGGGUGACGGUACCUCCAGAAGAAGCCCCGGCUAACUACGUGCCAGCCGCCGCCGUAAAAC